rnacentral:rRNA from 1 species
CACGUAGGGUGCGAGCGUUGUCCGGAAUUAUUGGGCGUAAAGAGCUCGUAGGCGGUGUGUCGCGUCGGCCGUGAAAACCUGCAGCUUAACUGUGGGCGUGCGGUCGAUACGGGCAUCACUGGAGUUCGGCAGGGGAGACUGGAAUUCCAGGUGUAGCGGUGAAAUGACGUAGAUAUCUGGAGGAAUACCGAUGGCGAAGGCAGCCUCCUGGGCCAACACUGACGCUCCAUGCACGAAAGCGUGGGGAGCAAACGGG